rnacentral:misc_RNA from 1 species
CCCUCCCCUAAAUCACUCCAAAAAAACAAUCCCCAAUUCUACACAAGUGUUUCUACACUAACAAAGCAACAGCUCCUUAACGAAUUCCCAACUUUACACGAGCUCGUCUCUCGAGGUUAAAUGUUAUUACUUGGUAAGAUUCCGGACCUCGCCAAGUGUUUUGAAAACCCGCAACGCUCGCAAAGGUGCAUAGUGAGAAUAAUAAGUGAAGAGACAGACUUGUCCAAAACGCCCACCACGAAGGUGCAUAGUGAGAAGAGUAAGUCAAGAGAUAGACUUGUCCAAAAAGAAACGGAAGAGAAAGCUUGGGGAGACGCUCACGAAGGUGCAUAGUGAGAAGAGUAAGUCAAGAGAUAGACUUGUUCAAAAAGAAACACAAGAGAAUGCUUGGGGUUACACUCACGAAGGUGCAUAGUGAGAAGAGUAAGUCAAGAGAUAGACUUGUUCAAAAAGAAACAGAAGAGAAUGCUUGGGGUUACACUCACGAAGGUGCAUAGUGAGAAGAGUAAGUCAAGAGACAGACUUGUUCAAAAAGAAACAAAAGAGAAUGCUUGGGGAGAUAGAAGUGUGAGAUAGUUCUCAAGCUAAGAAAGUUGUAAAAGCUAAGAACUAGCAAGUAAUCGUCCAGGAUUCCUCCACCAGGACUUGAAAUCGUCGAGGGAAAAAAUCGGUUCCGAGGAAUCGUCGAUCCGGACUUGGAAUCGUCGAGAAAAGUUUACCGGGUCCGAGGAUUUGUCGAC